UACGGGGGGGGCAAGCGUUGUUCGGAAUUACUGGGCGUAAAGGGCUCGUAGGUGGCCAACUAAGUCAGACGUGAAAUCCCUCGGCUUAACCGGGGAACUGCGUCUGAUACUGGAUGGCUUGAGUUUGGGAGAGGGAUGCGGAAUUCCUGGUGUAGCGGUGAAAUGCGCAGAUAUCGGGAGGAACACCGGUGGCGAAGGCGGCGACCUGGGUAGAUACUGACGCUGAGGUGCGAAAGCGUGGGGAGCAAACAGG
rnacentral:rRNA from 1 species